CAAGUCGAGCGGCAGCGGAAAGUAGCUUGCUACUUUGCCGGCGAGCGGCGGACGGGUGAGUAAUGUCUGGGAAACUGCCUGAUGGAGGGGGAUAACUACUGGAAACGGUAGCUAAUACCGCAUGACCUCGCAAGAGCAAAGUGGGGGACCUUCGGGCCUCACGCCAUCGGAUGUGCCCAGAUGGGAUUAGCUAGUAGGUGAGGUAAUGGCUCACCUAGGCGACGAUCCCUAGCUGGUCUGAGAGGAUGACCAGCCACACUGGAACUGAGACACGGUCCAGACUCCUACGGGAGGCAGCAGUGGGGAAUAUUGCACAAUGGGCGCAAGCCUGAUGCAGCCAUGCCGCGUGUGUGAAGAAGGCCUUCGGGUUGUAAAGCACUUUCAGCGAGGAGGAAGGCAGUCGUGUUAAU
rnacentral:rRNA from 1 species